GUAGGGAGCAAGCGUUGUCCGGAAUUACUGGGCGUAAAGGGUGCGUAGGCGGCCUGGUAAGUCAGAUGUGAAAUACCGGUGCUUAACAUGGGGGGUGCAUCUGAUACUGUCAGGCUUGAGUGCAGGAGAGGAAAGCGGAAUUCCUAGUGUAGCGGUGAAAUGCAUAGAUAUUAGGAGGAACACCAGUGGCGAAGGCGGCUUUCUGGACUGUAACUGACGCUGAGGCACGAAAGCGUGGGGAGCAAA
rnacentral:rRNA from 1 species